AACAGGUACCCUAUCUCCAUAGGAUUCUACUUGUGAGUCAAUUCACUCGGACACAUUCACAAGGAAUAGUAAACUAAAUUUUGAGAAACACAAGAAGCCAAAUAACACUUGGCUGUUUAAUUAGUUGAUCACUUGGAUCGAAAUGCCCUAAAAAGCUUUGAAGAACGUUCCAUUUUAUCUUCGGGGGUUGCUUCAAGCUUGCUCCAUCUCGAUCCUCUACUUUUAAUCAUUGAUUUGGGUUCCAUAUAUUUUUUUUUUGCUUCCCACUUUCUUUAACUUUCAUCCUUGGGUGUCUUCAUCUUUGACGAAAACACAAGGGAUUCCAUGUCUUUAUUUUUUUCAAGCUAGCUACAUUGGUGCAAGAGAAAGCAAAAGAAACCGUACCCAAAGAACCAUUCUUUUUUCUUCAUCUAUAUGGUCUCUCACUCCCUUUUGCUUUUUUCUAAGCAGGUAAAUGUGGUUGGGAUGGAAGAAGAAAGAUUAAGAAGUUGUUAAAUGGAACUAUGGAAGAGUUUUAGUUAAUCUGGAUAUUAAGAUUAAGAUGAGAAUGGCAGAGAGUAAUUUGCACGCUUGGAUGCUAUUCUUGAGAAGGUAGAGAGUGACAAAAGAUAGAGAUGGGGAAGCAGCACAUGAUGACUGAAUAUUCAUGGGUGGAGACAGGGGUGAAGUGGGCCUUGUUCUACUUUAGGGCAAAAGUGAAACAGCUUAGAAAAUUCCUCAAUUAUUCUGUGUUGUUUCUUUGCGCGUCUUUGGCAGCAUGUUGCAUGCGAACCUACAACAGCAAUAGUCAACAGUUGGGCGCCAGGGAAAAGGAGUAGUAAUUAUUUGAGACAUCAUUUUAUUUAACCUUUACUUCUCUACUCGCAUAUUCGGAAGUCUAAAAUAUGAGUUGUAUUGUGAACUCAAAAAUUGUACAAGUAUAUGUUCGAAUGGGCUAUAAGUCAAGAAAGACAUUGCAACGGAUAAAAAUAGAGGUGCCUGACAUAAUUCUUAACAAUGUAUACAUAUAUUUUCAUUUAUUCAUUCAUUCCGUAAAAGCUAUAAGUUCA